rnacentral:lncRNA from 1 species
CCCAACCCCAAAGGCUAUAGCCCACCCGUUUUUGUGGCCUUUUUCCGCUGGACGAACUUGGCGCCCCGGCCUUCGGGUGGUUAUUUUUGGGCGCGGCUGUGCCCGCGACCUAUUUUUGGCACACGGAGGUGCCUCGCAAAGUCUCGCGCCAUUCUGAGUCCGGCGGACGAAAUUGGCCAGCCCCACCCCCCAAGGCUAUAGCCCACCCGUUUUUGUGGCCUUUUUCCGCUGGACGAACUUGGUGCCCCGGCCUUCGGGCGGUUAUUUUUGGGCGCUGCUGUGCCCACAGCCUAUUUUUGGCACACGGAGGCGCCUCGCAAAGUCUCGCGCCAUUCCGAGUCCGGCGGACGAAGUUGGCAUGCCCCACCCCCCAAGGCUAUAGCCCACACGUUUUUGUGCCCUUUUUUCACUGGACCAACUUGGCGCCCCGGCCUUCGGGCGGUUAUUUUUUGGUACGGCUCUGCCCGCGGCCUAUUUUUGGCACAUGGAGGUG